UACGAAGGGUGCAAGCGUUAAUCGGAAUUACUGGGCGUAAAGGGUGCGUAGGCGGUUGUUUAAGUCUGUCGUGAAAGCCCCGGGCUCAGCCCGGGAAGGGCGCUCGAAACGGCGCGGCUCGAGUGCCGGAGGGGAGAGUGGAAUUCCUGGUGUAGCGGUGAAAUGCGUAGAUAUCAGGAGGAAUACCGGUGGCGAAAGCGACUCUCUGGACGGCAACUGACGCUGAGGCACGAAAGCGUGGGGAGCAAACAGG
rnacentral:rRNA from 1 species